GUGAAUCAUCGAAUUUUUGAACGCAAAUUGCGCUUCCUGGCAUCCCGGGAAGUAUGCCUGUUUGAGGGUCAGUAUUAACAAAAAAUCGGUUUGGUUGCAAAUUGUGACGUUUCCGGAGUUUGGGCUAUCUUAACUUUUUUGGUUAAGGGGCUUAAAAUUGACCUUAUUUGCGCAUUUUUAGACGUACAUAAAUUUUUUUUUUUUUUUUGUUUUUUUUUAAUUCCAAAAUUUUUUUAAAUGGCAUCCAA
rnacentral:misc_RNA from 1 species